rnacentral:rRNA from 1 species
GAGGUAAUGGCUCACCUAAGCUCCGAUAGGUAGGGGUCCUGAGAGGGAGAUCCCCCACACUGGUACUGAGACACGGACCAGACUCCUACGGGAGGCAGCAGUGAGGAAUAUUGGUCAAUGGAGGCAACUCUGAACCAGCCAUGCCGCGUGAAGGAUGACGGCCCUAUGGGUUGUAAACUUCUUUUAUAUGGGAAGAAACUUAUCUACGUGUAGAUAACUGACGGUACCAUACGAAUAAGGAUCGGCUAACUCCGUGCCAGCAGCCGCGGUAAU